rnacentral:rRNA from 1 species
AACGAACGCUGGCGGCAUGCCUAACACAUGCAAGUCGAACGAGACCUUCGGGUCUAGUGGCGCACGGGUGCGUAACGCGUGGGAACCUGCCCUUAGGUUCGGAAUAACUCCCCGAAAGGGGUGCUAAUACCGGAUAAUGUCUUCGGACCAAAGAUUUAUCGCCUUUGGAUGGGCCCGCGUUGGAUUAGCUAGUUGGUAGGGUAAAAGCCUACCAAGGCGACGAUCCAUAGCUGGUCUGAGAGGAUGAUCAGCCACACUGGGACUGAGACACGGCACAGACUCCUACGGGAGGCAGCAGUGGGGGAUAUUGGAAAGCGGGCGAAGGCCUGAUCCAGCAAUGCCGCGUGAGUGAUGAAGGCCUUAGGGUUGUAAAGUUCUUUUAACCGGGCUGAUAAUGACAGUACCGAGAGAAUAAGCUCCGGCUAACUACGUG